rnacentral:sRNA from 1 species
GUGGAAUGGUACUGCCUCAACUGCUCGUGGCGCUAUAGUUGCUUGGGAAGUUGUUUGCUCCCCUAAAUCUUCUGGUGGGCUUGGGCUGAAAAGAUUAGCUGAUUGGAAUCAGUUUUUUGGUUUGAAGCUGAUUUGGCUACUUUUUUCUCAAGACGGAUCUUUGUGGGUGUCGUGGUGUAAAACACACUUCAUCCGUGGUAGAUGCUUUUGGAAUGCUGAUUUCAGAGCCACUGGCAGCUGGAUUUGGCGUAGUCUCGCAAAGCUCCAUUCUCUUGCUCGCCCUUUUGUGUUCUGUGAAAUUGUUUCCGGUCGUGACGCUCUUUUCUGGCACGAUAACUGGACUGAUUUAGGUCCUUUAAUAGAUGUUGUUGGUGUGGCAGGUCCUCGAGUUACGAGCAUUGCCUCGUUGUGUCUCGUUUGCGAUGCCUCCUCAGAUGGAUUUUGGU